rnacentral:tRNA from 1 species
CGGUAGCUCAGCUGGAUAGAGUGUUUGGCUACGAACCAGAAGGUCGGGGGUUCGAAUCCCUUCCG